GCAGAAAUGGCGGAAAGCGGGAAACAGUGUCAGCAAUGGAAGGAGCUCUGACUUAAACAUGGCGGUCCAAAGUGGAGGAUGCUGCGAAGCUGCUGACAUUGAAAUCGAUCUCUGUCAACACGCUGCCAUGCCUGAUACCACGAGGGACACUGAUAACCGGAGCUGGUGUGAAGACCUGCA